CGAUGAUUCCGGCGCAUAGCUUUCGGUGGCACUGUGUUCGCGGGCUUGUGUAGUUGGAAGAUUCAUUUUCCAGUGGAAGCGAGGAUGCUGAAACAGAGUGAAGGAAGGAAACGAGAACAUGGUGACGCACCCUUUUCAUCACACCCUGACCGUGGUGGAAACAACUAAAUGCCAGAAUGGUUCGUGACAUGCAUCGUGGAUGACUCUAGUGGCUCCUCAUUACCAUCCAGGCUACGGCCGCUUAAAAAUAAAUGCAAAUUAAGCAGCACAGAAUGUGGACGCUGCACUACUAA